UACGUAGGGGGCAAGCGUUGUCCGGAAUUACUGGGCGUAAAGGGCUCGUAGGCGGCCAACUAAGUCGGACGUGAAAUCCCUCGGCUCAACCGGGGAACUGCGUCCGAUACUGGAUGGCUCGAGUCCGGGAGAGGGAUGCGGAAUUCCAGGUGUAGCGGUGAAAUGCGUAGAUAUUGGGAAGAACACCGGUGGCGCAAGCGGCUUGCUGGGCUGUAACUGACGCUGAGGAACGAAAGCUAGGGGAGCAAAUGGG
rnacentral:rRNA from 1 species